rnacentral:rRNA from 1 species
UAUUCCCCACUGCUGCCUCCCGUAGGAGUCUGGGCCGUGUCUCAGUCCCAGUGUGGCUGAUCGUCCUCUCAGACCAGCUACUGAUCGUCGCCUUGGUGAGCCUUUACCUCACCAACUAGCUAAUCAGACAUCGGCCGCUCCUAUAGCAUGAGGCCUUGCGGUCCCCCACUUUCACCCUCAGGUCGUAUGCGGUAUUAGCUAAUCUUUCGACUAGUUAUCCCCCACUACAGGGCACGUUCCGAUGUAUUACUCACCCGUUCGCCACUCGCCAUCAAUCUAGCAAGCUAGAUCAUGCUGCCGUUCGACUUGCAUGUGUAAGGCAUGCCGCCAGCGUUCAUCCUGAGCCAA